AAGAGAAAGAGUGUGAACGAUGAGAUGCAGUUCAUGCGUAGAGGUGCGAAAGAGCAGCAUGGCGUAAGGGAUUAGCAAUCAUUGUUAAGGGUGGAAUUCCCUCACAGAUCGUGGCAAGGUCAUGUUUUUCUGGCCUAUAUAAGGCCAUCGCUGUCAGACCGAAGGCAUACACUUCAAGUGCACCGUUCAUAGAACAUCACGUAGCGCUACAUAGCAAUUGCUUUAAGCUGGCGUUUUACGUGUUGAAAAGCUUUAAAUAGUUUAAAUUUAUUAGUUAAAAUUUUUAGUUAAAAUUCAAAUUUUUAGUUAAAAUUUAUUUUUGUAAAUAUGUAAAUUUUGCAACUAAAUGUUCGCGUUUGCUGAGUUAUUGGUGUAUUUAAUUACUUAAACUGGAGAGAAAGACAGAGGCACUAGCCCCCUGACCCAGGUUACGGAGGUGCAAGCAAUCUAUGAACGAUUAUAAUGAGAAGAAAAUCAAGAUCGGAAGAGCAAGGAUGAGUUGGCGGACUCUUUCCAAAACUAUCGGUCAUUGGACUCUCUCUUUGGACCUUUAACUACGAGCGUAAACAGGGGGGAUAUUUUAACAUAUAUGUACAUAGAGGAUUGAGAAGUAGCAGCGUCAGCAGUAAUAGCAACAAGAGAAGCAGCAACAACAGCAGCAAUAGCAACAACGGCAGCAACAAUGCCAAUGAUGAUGAUGAUAAUGGUGAUGGUGAUGGUGAUGAUGGGACAAAAACAAAAGCAACGAAAGCGGUGAGUGGUGUGGUGACCUCUAACUGUAAAUGCUGAAUGUGCUGCAGAAAAUGUGUGCUAUUGGUUGGCUGGUGAAUAAUGUAACAACAACAGAAACAUGUAAAUAUAACAACGGGGGAUAUGAAGACAAAGCGAUCUUCAAGCAAUCAAUAGUAGAAGCCAGUAAAAGAUCGAGUUAAGGCGUAAAUGUACACCUUUUGAGAUUAAAAGCGAAGAAAGCAACUGAUUUGUUGCACGCACUGCGAAGGCGCUACGCUCGUACGAACUCUGAGAUGAAGUAAAUAAACCAACGAUAAGAAAAACAAGUCACGCGGUCUUCAAGCAAUCAAAACGAACAUUAGUGAGUAGUAGCUGAUAAUAACAACAAAAAGUAACAAUAAUAAGCACCAAUUGAAAAUAACAACGACAAAAUUGAAAUUAUA